CAGCAUUAUAUUUAUAUUCUUAUUUCUAUGUGUUGUAAGUAAAGUGUAUGAUCAACUUAAUUCACCUUUUAAAGCAAUUUCUGAUACUGAAAAUAAUGGUGAGUCCGAACAUAAACGUAACUAUGGAAAGUUGAUAAGAAGAUGGCGCCUUCCCAGUUGGACAGUUCUGUCCUUCACAUUUCGGAGUUUCUGAAAUAUAAACUAAAAAAAACUUUGUUAGUGAUUCUACCCUACUUCUUACUUUAUCUGAGUUUUGUAUUAAUUAGCAAUGUGCUACGUUUCAUAUAACAUGGUGGAAGCAAAUUAAAAUUACAGAACAGGUCAGUAUUUUUGUGAUUUUACUUUUAAUGAACUGAUUAUAGUGCCGUAAAAACAGGACAAACAAUGACCUAGAUCAAUGAUUAAACAAGUAGAAUGUGAACUAUUGGUAACUUUAAGUAUCCAAACAUUAAGUAUUCAGAACAGAAAGUUUUAGUAAAAUGAUCAUGCGCCUUCUCAAAAAUAUAUUCACAGUGUGUUGUACUAUUAUUGGGACAAAUCAUAUCAAAAUUAUAGAAAACUUCAUCAGCUCUAACUAUCUCAAAAUAUGGAAAAUUUUAUGUUACGGGGUUUUGAAAUCUUUCCGUCAGCUUUUGAAGGGCUAAUUAUCAACCUUUUCAGCUGUACUAAAUUUUGUGUCAUUUUUGGUCUUUUGUGGAUAGUUGUCUCAUUGGCAAUCAUACCACAUCUUCUUUUUUAUAAAUUCUUCUUUACUUUAAAAUUCAUGAUCCAGGGUAAUUUACUUCCCAUGCUUCCUUUUUGAGGCAUAAAACACGGAGAUAAUAUUUGGAAGAUUAUAACAUGCACACGUAUAAAUACUGCGUUUUUCAUCCUACGCAAUCAUAGGUUUGAACGUUGUUUUCAAUUUAGAUGUGUUUCUAUUAUUUUCGUUUAGGCUCGUAUUAUAUCUACCGUAUGGCUUAUAUUAUCAGUUAUCAUAUUUCGACUCAAAACAAAAUUCAAGAGUCUAUAUCCUAACUUGAGGUAAAUUAUAUGUCCUUCCAAAUACUUUUUCGAUCCUUAACUUCACUGAAGAGACAUUAAUUGUCGAAUUUCAGAUAUGGUGAAAAAAAGAAUUUUAAGCACCUCAUGUUUGUGGUUUACCAUCUUCGCCGCAAGAUUAUUGUUUGUAUUAUAUAAAUAUAAAGAUUCAUUUCGUUACAUCUUUUUGAUCAAUGUAUUUGGCAAUCGUUAAUGGCAGUCAACAGUAUCUAAGAUCAUCAGUUUUUCGACCUGUUAAUCAAUGUUUUUGGAGAUAAGUGUAUUUUUACUGCACUAGUACACAAUUUGUGUAGUGGCUCGCUGAGGACCACCUCCG
rnacentral:lncRNA from 1 species